rnacentral:rRNA from 1 species
AGAGUUUGAUCCUGGCUCAGGACGAACGCUGGCGGCGUGCCUAACACAUGCAAGUCGAGCGAUGAAAUUUUCUUCGGAAAAUGGAUUAGCGGCGGACGGGUGAGUAACACGUGGGUAACCUGCCCUAUAGAGAGGGAUAGCCUUCCGAAAGGGAGAUUAAUACCUCAUAAUAUCCUAGUAUCGCAUGAUACAUGGAUUAAAGGAGCAAUCCGCUAUAGGAUGGACCCGCGGCGCAUUAGCUAGUUGGUGAGGUAAUGGCUCACCAAGGCGACGAUGCGUAGCCGACCUGAGAGGGUGAUCGGCCACAUUGGGACUGAGACACGGCCCAAACUCCUACGGGAGGCAGCAGUGGGGAAUAUUGCACAAUGGGGGAAACCCUGAUGCAGCAACGCCGCGUGAGUGAUGACGGCCUUCGGGUUGUAAAACUCUGUCUUUGGGGACGAUAAUGACGGUACCCAAGGAGGAAGCCACGGCUAACUACGUGCCAGCAGCCGCGGUAAUACGUAGGUGGCGAGCGUUAUCCGGAUUUACUGGGCGUAAAGGGAGCGUAGGCGGCCUGUUAAGUGAGAUGUGAAAUACCCGGGCUCAACUUGGGUGCUGCAUUCCAAACUGGAAAUCUAGAGUGCAGGAGGGGAAAGUGGAAUUCCUAGUGUAGCGGUGAAAUGCGUAGAGAUCUGGAGGAAUACCGGUGGCGAAGGCGGCCCCCUGGACAAAGACUGACGCUCAGGUGCGAAAGCGUGGGGAGCAAACAGGAUUAGAUACCCUGGUAGUCCACGCCGUAAACGAUGUCGAUUUGGAGGUUGUGCCCUUGAGGCGUGGCUUCCGGAGCUAACGCGUUAAAUCGACCGCCUGGGGAGUACGGCCGCAAGGUUAAAAGAUUAAAACUCAAAGGAAUUGACGGGGGCCCGCACAAGCGGUGGAGCAUGUGGUUUAAUUCGAUGCAACGCGAAGAACCUUACCUGGUCUUGACAUCCACAGAACUUAGCAGAGAUGCUUUGGUGCCUUCGGGAACUGUGAGACAGGUGCUGCAUGGCUGUCGUCAGCUCGUGUUGGGAAAUGUUGGGUUAAGUCCCGCAACGAGCGCAACCCUUAUUACUAGUCGCCAUCAUUAAGUUGGGCACUCUAGUGAGACUGCCGGUGAUAAACCGGAGGAAGGUGGGGAUGACGUCAAAUCAUCAUGCCCCUUAUGACCUGGGCUACACACGUGCUACAAUGGAUGGUACAACGAGUCGCCAACCCGCGAGGGUGCGCUAAUCUCUUAAAACCAUUCUCAGUUCGGAUUGCAGGCAGCAACUCGCCUGCAUGAAGUCGGAAUCGCUAGUAAUCGCGGAUCAGCACGCCGCGGUGAAUACGUUCCCGGGCCUUGCACUCACCGCCCGUCA